rnacentral:rRNA from 1 species
GGAUAGGUGGGAGGCUUUGAAGCGUGGACGCCAGUCUGCGUGGAGCCAACCUUGAAAUACCACCCUUUAAUGUUUGAUGUUCUAACGUUGGCCCCUGACCGGGGUUGCGGACAGUGUCUGGUGGGUAGUUUGACUGGGGCGGUCUCCUCCCAAAGCGUAACGGAGGAGCACGAAGGUUAGCUAAUCCUGGUCGGACAUCAGGAGGUUAGUGCAAUGGCAUAAGCUAGCUUGACUGCGAGCGUGACGGCGCGAGCAGGUGCGAAAGCAGGUCAUAGUGAUCCGGUGGUUCUGAAUGGAAGGGCCAUCGCUCAACGGAUAAAAGGUACUCCGGGGAUAACAGGCUGAUACCGCCCAAGAG